AUUGAACGCUGGCGGCAGGCCUAACACAUGCAAGUAGAGCGAGCGGCGGACGGGUGAGUAAUGUAUGGGGACUGCCCGAUAGAGGGGGAUAACUCCUGGAAACGGUGGCUAAUACCGCAUACUGUAGGAUAACCCAUAUGGGAUUAGCUAUUAAGUAAGGUAAUGGCUUACCUAGGCGACUAUCCCUAGCUGGUCUGAGAGGAUUAUCAGCAGCAAGUGGAAUGCGACAAGGCCCAGACUCCGACGGAGGCAGACGUGGGGAAUAUUGCACAAUGGGCGCAAGCCUGAUGCAGCCAUGCCGCGUGUAUGAAGAAGGCCCUAGGGGUGUAAAGUACUUUCAGUCGGGAGGCGUUACCGACAGAAGAAGCACCGGCUAACUCCGUGCCAGCAGCCGCGGUAAUUC
rnacentral:rRNA from 1 species